CCCGUCGUUACUCGGUGGCGUGUGGUGGCAAGUUGGCUUGUGUAGCCACUUCUCCGACGAGUGUGUUUUAAAUAAGUCAGCUUGAGUGGUCCAUAUUCACUGGCAAGGCUGUUGUAGCGAGCUCUGACGCUGGGUGCUCGGUGGGAAUCAGCUGGAGCCGUAGCCAAGCCUCUCAUAAGCUCAAUUCAUGACCUGCGGUCCCAGAGAGGGGAUUCAUCGCCACUUGGGCGGCUUCACUGUCAGGAUCAACCUCUGGGCCCUGGUGGACAGCCUGACUGCCUCCCCUCCCCCUGCCUGAGAUAAGUAGCCUAGUUUGAUAAAUGGGCUAUUGGUGAAUGAUUGCCAUAUAAUUACUGUCAAGCCUUUUACCAACUCUUGUGUCUGUCUCGCUCUCGCUCUCUCUCUCGCUCUCGCGCGCUUUCUCUCUCUUCCGGACAGGUGUGGUGGGUUUCCCACAGGCGGCAGGCCAACCUUCAGGUGGCGGAGUUCCCCCCCCUCACUUUUCUCUGCUGUGUACAAUGGGUGCUUUAUUCUGAAUUGCAGUGUAAUUGAAGUGCCAUUAUCCUUCACGUGUGGUGCGUGUCUUCUGGGUCCCUCCUUCUCCCCCUUUUUGGAAGUCCUGCUCGCUGUGGUAAGCCCCCUGCCCUGCUCCACUCCCUUUGAUUACGGGUCACAGGUUAAGCUACGGCGUAACAGUGUGGUUGCCAUCAUUAACCAUCCAGUAGAUCUGACCCAGGCGUCUCCUGUAUUUACACCUGAUGCAUUGCUUUUAUGUUUGAAUCUGUGUUGUAUGUAUCAAUAAAUCAUGUUAACUCUUGUCUCUGGCCUAAGAGUGUACGAAUCUGUGUUGCCUUGUGGGUAUUAUAGGGAAUAUAGUAUAACUGGUCCUAGGGUGUAACCCCCUAGGUGGCGUAGUCGACUCCAAAUUUCCUUGCCACGUCACAUGAUGAAGGAAAAUAUGAAUGAAGAUGCAAAUUGAUAUUGGAAUCUAGGGCUCAUCCUCUCGAUUAUUUUUGACUUUAAGAACAGUAUGUCUUAUGUGUAUGACCUUGUGACUUUAACUCCACCCCACUUCUCUUUCUUUCCUGAAUCAGUUUCAAUAGAAUGUAUUGAAUGAAUGAAUGUAUUGUACUUAUGUACUUUAAGAACAGCAGUCUAAACAACAUUACAAUUCAGUAAAUCCUAUUUUAUUCUUCAGUAAUUGUAACAUGAAUAUCUCCAAGUGAAGUAACUUGAUUUCAUACCACAUUUAAAAACAACUGUUAGUAUGCCUAGACCUAAAGUGCUUUACAGUUAAGGCAAACACAUACAUGUACAGUAGAUGAUGCACCAAAGGAACCAUUUAUAACAAAAUGUAGGCUAAGAGAGGUCAAAGCGAGUGCACCGUAAGCACACCAAUCGGGGCUCAGCACACAAUUUGCUCUGAGGCCAUAUUCACAAAGCCUUUUAUCUUACCACUAGGAGUACUCCUAAAUCACACUAAAAGAUUUUAGCUAGGAGUUUUCUCUUAAGUUAUU